AGGAUAAACGCUGGCGGCGUGCCUAACACAUGCAAGUCGAACGGAAAGGCCCGCUUGCGGGUACUCGAGUGGCGAACGGGUGAGUAACACGUGGGCAACCUGCCCUCAGCUUCGGGAUAACACUUGGAAACAGGUGCUAAUACCGGAUAAUAACCUUUCAUCGCAUGGUGUGGGGUUCAAAGUUUUUCGGCUGGGGAUGGGCCCGCGGCCUAUCAGCUUGUUGGUGGGGUAAUGGCCUACCAAGGCGACGACGGGUAGCCGGCCUGAGAGGGCGACCGGCCACACUGGGACUGAGACACGGCCCAGACUCCUACGGGAGGCAGCAGUGGGGAAUAUUGCGCAAUGGGCGGAAGCCUGACGCAGCGACGCCGCGUGAGGGAUGACGGCCUUCGGGUUGUAAACCUCUUUCAGCUCUGACGAAGCGAGAGUGACGGUAGGAGCAGAAGAAGCACCGGCAACUACGCGCCAGCAGCCGC
rnacentral:rRNA from 1 species